UACGAAGGGGGCUAGCGUUGCUCGGAAUGACUGGGCGUAAAGGGCGCGUAGGCGGAUGGCACAGUCAGAUGUGAAAUUCCCGGGCUUAACCUGGGGGCUGCAUUUGAUACGUGUUGUCUAGAGUGAGGAAGAGGGUUGUGGAAUUCCCAGUGUAGAGGUGAAAUUCGUAGAUAUUCGCAAGAACACCGGUGGCGAAGGCGGCCAACUGGACCAUUACUGACGCUGAGGAGCGAAAGCGUGGGGAGCGAACAGG
rnacentral:rRNA from 1 species